rnacentral:tmRNA from 1 species
GGGAAUCUUAAAACAUGAACUGCACUCGGAGAAAGAUAAUGACGUCGGCUUUCGGACACGGGUUCGACACCCGUCACCUCCACCA